rnacentral:lncRNA from 1 species
UUUAAACCAGUUCUUGAAAUCAUCCACUCUUGUUAUAUCUGUAGGUUCAAAUCUUCCAAUAAAAAGUGUAGAAUUUAGGGGCGCCUGGGUGGCUCAGUCGGUUGAGCGUCCGACUUCAGCUCAGGUCAUGAUCUCACAGUCUGUGAGCUCGAGCCCGGCGUCGGGCUCUGUGCUGACAGCUCAGAGCCUGGAGCCUGUUUCAGAUUCUGUGUCUCUCUCUCUCUCUGUCAAAAAUAAAAUAAAAUAAACAUUAAAAAAUAAGUGUAGAAUUUAUAUUCUUUUUAUUACAGGAGUAUGGGGCCCAGAGUCCUUGGAAGCCUGUAUCUGAGAACCAUCUGGAUCAUAUUAUACAUUGAUUUGUUCUUGGCUUUGAAAAUGGUUUUAGUGUUGAUGCAACCUCAUUAAAAGUAUCUGCUAAAACACUCUGGUACAGUCCACGUGCCUGGCUUUUGAAACCCGCCCCAGCAACAAAAAUGCCCUUUGCAUAAUGCCCCCAUCAGCUUAUGGUGCACAAAAAUGUAAUCACAGGCUCGAGUCGCCAAUCAGUCAUUGCAGCACCUGAAAUCUUGUAAAGAGAUGAAGAAAAUAAGAAUGUUUACUUCCUUGGCUAUUUAAACUCACUGGUCCUUUCGAAUGGAUUUCCCCAACAGGACUCAGGGGACCGCAGCCCACCGGUCUGCUUGGUGAUGUGAAGGGGAGAGUUCCUGCCUAGCUCUGGCCCUUCGGUGGGGGGAGACGACCCAGCUGACCAGACUGCGUCCCAGAGCCGGGCUCGUACGUUAGCUUCAGUGGCCAGUGCCCCGUUACGCCGAAUGCCCUUGUAAAGGGAGGCUCCCCAAGUGCAUGUAACACAAGUCUUCACAGCAAGGCGGCGUGCAAGAGUUCGUCUCAUCGGAGGAUCUUCGCGCUGUCCUUCCGGAGUAAAAGAGCCGAAGGCGCUUGGGUGGCAAUUAAGCACGAACGCGCUCGUUUCCCGACGGGCCGAGCGUGCGACUCUCACCCAGGGAAAUCUCGCCCGGCGUCAGCGCUGCCCGGACAGGCAAUCGGAGCUUCCGCGGCGCCGAUGCGGGGCGGCUCUUCCAGGGCGAGAGGAAGCCCGCCGGGGGGGCUUGACCGGCAGGCACGUUUCUCGGGAGGAUGAGGACGAAAGGCCGCCGGCCCCAGCCCGACGUUUUGCCGGUCAGGGUAACAGGUUACACUUCGGAGCAGUUCGGAGGCUUCCAAUCGGUGGAAGCGCUGAGAAAGGGGUGCUCGGAAUGAAGAGCAAUCUUGCCCUCACGUGCACUGUGAGUGGUCUUCGUCCAAGCCAGGCUGUGUCCACAAGCUUCCAGCUGACAUUUGGAAGAAAGAUACGCUCCUUCUGAGCUGAUUUUGGAGGUAAGGCAUUCUGGGUGCAUCUGAGCGGCCCGGGAAGGGAGUGGGGUGAGGGACGGAUGCAGAGACAACCUGGUCCCCAUCUGCGCCUGACGACAUCCUCCAUGCCGCACUCAUUCUAGAAUCCAUUUCAAAGUAGUGCCCCUGGAGAUCCAAAGGCAAGCUCAGGGAAUGAGACAAAGUGCAGUGAUUUGGUAAAGAAGAUGCAUUUUCUAUUUCUUCUGGCUGGCCAAAGCUGCACACCCUUGCAAAGCUGUGUCCCCAGGGCCCCGAGUGGAGUGUGCUCCCUUCUCAGAGUGGCACCUGCUGAACUAGAGACAGAGGCGAUCGUCACCACUGGUCUGACAGGCACUUUUCCAGACCAGACUUUCCUGACCUCCGCUAGUCUAAGUAGAUGAUUCGAGUCACAGUAAGGGUUUCCAACGGUGCAUGGGCUUCCUCCAGGAAUGUGGCAGGGAGUUCGGCAUUUCUUUACCCCGAACCCCUUGAAGAAAGUCACCAGUGGGUCAGCGAGAGCCAUGUGACCAGCUCACACUCUGCAAAAGAAGCCAGGAGGGCAGAAAGCAAGCAAUGUAUCAGUGGCACAGAGUCACAGUGAGUGGAGACAGGCUGUUGUGUGAGCCAGUCCAGAUCAGCAGAACUCUGCUGUGAAAGAAGGAGGGAGGCAGGGAGGGCUGAAGGAAGGAAGGAAGAAGGAGGGAAGGAAGGAAGGAAGGGAGGGAAGGAGGGAGGGAGGGCAGAAGGAAGGAAGGAAGAAGGAGGGAAGGGAGGAGGAAAGAAAGGAAGGAAGGGAGGGAAGGAGGGAGAGAAGGGAAGAAAGGGCAAACCGUUGCCAUUAUUUAAAAAAAAAAUCCUGCAUUUUGCCACCUAUAGGAGGCAUACUUGAAGUAAAAAUUGUAAGUGUAAGAGAACAAACUGAGGGUUGCUGGAGGGGAC